AAUCCAUGAUUAGGACAUUUCCUCAGAAACAUCUGGAACUGUUCCCAUGAUUCAUAAAAAGCUUUAUCAGUACCUUGUCUAAAUGUUGAAAUUUCAAACUUUGCAU
rfam:Lupinus angustifolius cultivar Tanjil contig_41053, whole genome shotgun sequence.